CCCUUAGAUGUUCUGGGCCGCACGCGCGCUACACUGAAGGGAUCAGCGUGUUUUCCCUUCCCGAGAGGGACGGGUAACCCGCUGAACCCCCUUCGUGGUAGGGAUCGGAGCUUGCAAUUGUUCUCCGUGAACCAGGAAUUCCCAGUAAGCGCAAGUCAUAAGCUUGCGUUGAUUACGUCCCUGCCCUUUGUACACACCGCCCGUCGCUACUACCGAUUGAACGUUUUAGUGAGGUAUUUGGACUGGGCCUUGGGAGGUUUCGGCCUCCCUUGUUGUUCGGAAAGACUCCCAAACUUGAGCGUUUAGAGGAAGUAAAAGUCGUAACA
rnacentral:rRNA from 1 species